UUGGAACAACCGUUUUAUCCA
rnacentral:piRNA from 1 species